UUAAAUUAUCUCCCUUUGUGGAACUCUCGUGUAAAGAAGAUAAAGAAGAAUGAUUGGAGAAAGCCAGAUGUCAACAAAAUGGAUGGUUUGAAAUGUAGUUUUGGUGAAAAUUGUAAAGAGAAAGCAGAUAAUAUACUUUAGGAUUCGGGCGUACAUGUGCUAAACACAGGCAGGAAUAUGGAAUUCAGUGGAAAAGGAAAAGGAGAACAUGCUGUCAUUCACUACAUAAACAAUCUCAAUCUGGCAUAAUCGCGAGUGGAAUUACAUUUAUUCAAAGCCGAGAGAUAUGGAUGAAGCUGAGCACACAUUUUCCAACUGGUUCUGGUGUUCGCAGAAAACGCAUUGAGAGAAAACUGUGUCAAGAUUAAUACAGAUCUGAAGGAGGAGUUGAAAGAAAUAUGCUGCUUAUUAGAGAGAACUACAGAUUCUGAAGCAAUGGACGCUGAUAUAUCUUUUUCUAACCCAAGAGAUUUUGAUCUUCUGUCAUCUCAGAAAACUGUGGGGUCUGAUCAAUCCAAAGAUGAAAGAACAGAGCAUGAAAUCUUAAAUGAAGCUGUGAAAUUAUUGUCAUAUGGAAAGUACUCCCCUGUAAAAUCACAGCCAUCUAUGAAUCUUGAUCAACUUCAGUAUUCAAAGAGAAUUGUGAUACAUGCAUGAAUUCAUAUUAUUAUAUUUUCAUGUUAAAUACUACUCGAAAAACAUUGUCAACCUCCGCUUCGCGUCGGUUGACAAUGGUGUCCUUGGGGUGUCAAUUUCAACUGUUACCCUCCCAAACAGGCACUAUUAAUAUAAUGUUAGUCCUCUAAUAGCACUACAUGUGUAUGAGUUGAUGACGUAAGUCUUCUAAUAGCGCUACAGGUAUAAAUUGAUUAUUUUAGGCCAUUAAUAGACAAACAUGUAUCAAUUGAGGAUGUAAGCUAGAUAAUAGAACUUCAUUAAUGAUUUGAUGAUAAGAGUUGUCUAACAUCACUUGUAUGAAUUGAUGAUGUUAUUUGGCCAAAAGUGCUACAUGUAUGAAUGUUGGCUAGUAGCUCUACAUGUAUGAAUUAAUGAUGUUAGUUAUUUAAUAGUGCUACAUGUAUGAAUUGAUAAUUUUAUUUGUCUAAUAGUGCUACAAGAAGGAAUUGAUGAUGUAAGUUUGCUAAAAACAUUACAUAAUUAAUAUAUGAAUUGAUGUUGUCUGUUCUAUAAUAGCAUUUCAUGUACGAAUGAUGAUGUUAGUCCUCUAUUAACACUACACAUAUAUGAAUUGAUAAUGUUUUUGUACUAAUAGCGCUACGUGUAUUAAUUGAGGAUGUAAACUUUAUGAAUGAUUUGAUGAUAAAAGUUGACUUAUAGCACUAGUGUGAAUUGAUGGUGUUACCUGGCUAGCUAAUUGUGCUAUACGUUUGAAUUGAUGAUGUUCUUAGACUAGUAGCGCCACAUGUAUGAAUUGAUGAGGUUACAUGUAUUUGGCUAACAGCGCUACAUGAAUUAAUGAUGUUAUUUGGCCAAUAGUGAAACAUGUACAUACAUGAAUUAAUGAUCAUUGUUGUCUUAAAUUGCUACAUGUUUAAAUGGAUGAUGUUAUUUGGCAAAUAGUGAUUCAUGUAUGAAUUGAUGUUGUUUGGUUAUCAGUGCUAUAUGUAUGAAUCAAUAAUGUUAUUUAGCUUUUAGUGCAACAUGUAUGAAUGAUGAUAAAGGUUGUUCAAUAGCACUACAUGUAUGAAUUUAUGAUUUUAUUUGACUAAAAGAUAAGUGCUACAUGUGUGAAUUGUUGGUGUUUGGUUAUUAGUGCUACAUGUAUAAAUUGAUGGUAAUACAUGUAUUUGUCUAACAGUGUUAAAUGUAUGAAUUGAAAAUAGAUGUCUUAUACGGCUACAUGUAUAAAUUAAUGAUUUUAUUUGACUAAUAGCACUACAUGUAUGAAUUGAUGUUGUUAUUUGGCCAAAAGUGAUACAUGUAUUAAUUGAUAAUAGUUGUCCACUAUUGUUACAUGUAUAAAUUGAUGAUUUUACUUGACUAAUAGCACUACAUGUAUUAUUGAUGAUGUUAUUUGGCUAAUAGGGAUACAUGUAUUAAUUGAUGAUGAUAACUUUCUAAAUUUAAAUUAAUUGCACAUCUCUGUCUUUUUUUCGUAUGUAACUGAAUAAUGAAUAUUUCAAUUCACUGAUUUUGUAUUUUUUUUUCUGAAAUUAAAAUUCUCUUUCCGAUGUAUUCAUUGUAGGUUGAAAUUUGGUUGUAUUGCAUAUUUUAUUUCAUAGCUUUGUAAACAAUGGCUUUUCAUAUUUCA